CCCUUAGAGUUUGAUCCUGGCUCAGAGUGAACGCUGGCGGUAGGCCUAACACAUGCAAGUCGAACGGCAGCACAGGAGAGCUUGCUCUCUGGGUGGCGAGUGGCGGACGGGUGAGGAAUACAUCGGAAUCUACCUUUUCGUGGGGGAUAACGUAGGGAAACUUACGCUAAUACCGCAUACGACCUUAGGGUGAAAGCGGAGGACCUUCGGGCUUCGCGCGGAUAGAUGAGCCGAUGUCGGAUUAGCUUGUUGGCGGGGUAAAAGCCCACCAAGGCGACGAUCCGUAGCUGGUCUGAGGGGAUGAUCAGCCACACUGGAACUGAGACACGGUCCAGACUCCUACGGGAGGCAGCAGUGGGGAAUAUUGGACAAUGGGCGCAAGCCUGAUCCAGCCAUACCGCGUGAGUGAAGAAGGCCCUCGGGUUGUAAAGCUCUUUUGUUGGGAAAGAAAUCCUGUCGGUUAAUACCCGGUAGGGAUGACGGUACCCAAAGAAUAAGCACCGGCUAACUUCGUGCCAGCAGCCGCGGUAAUACGAAGGGUGCAAGCGUUACUCGGAAUUACUGGGCGUAAAGCGUGCGUAGGUGGUUUGUUAAGUCUGAUGUGAAAGCCCCGGGCUCAACCUGGGAAUUGCAUUGGAUACUGG
rnacentral:rRNA from 1 species